rnacentral:rRNA from 1 species
AUACGUAGGUGGCAAGCGUUGUCCGGAAUUAUUGGGCGUAAAGGGCGUGUAGGCGGCCAGACAAGUCUGUCUUAAAAGUGCGGGGCUCAACCCCGUGAUGGGAUGGAAACUGUCGGGCUAGAGUGUCGGAGAGGAAAGCGGAAUUCCUAGUGUAGCGGUGAAAUGCGUAGAUAUUAGGAGGAACACCAGUGGCGAAAGCGGCUUUCUGGACGACAACUGACGCUGAGGCGCGAAAGCCAGGGGAGCAAACGGGAUUAGAUACCCCGGUAGUCCUGGCCGUAAACGAUGGGUACUAGGUGUAGGAGGUAUCGACCCCUUCUGUGCCGGAGUUAACGCAAUAAGUAUCCCGCCUGGGGAGUACGGCCGCAAGGCUGAA